GUCAGGAUGGCCGAGUGGUCUAAGGCGCCAGACUCAAGAACCGAGGGUUCUUCGCCGACAUGAGGUGUUGAGUAUUCUGGUCUCCGAAUGGAGGCGUGGGUUCGAAUCCCACUUCUGACA
rnacentral:tRNA from 1 species